UACGUAGGGUGCAAGCGUUAAUCGGAAUUACUGGGCGUAAAGCGUGCGCAGGCGGUUUUGUAAGUCUGACGUGAAAUCCCCGGGCUCAACCUGGGAAUUGCGUUGGAGACUGCAAGGCUAGAAUCUGGCAGAGGGGGGUAGAAUUCCACGUGUAGCAGUGAAAUGCGUAGAGAUGUGGAAGAACACCGAUGGCGAAGGCAGCCCCCUGGGUCAAGAUUGACGCUCAUGCACGAAAGCGUGGGGAGCAAACAGG
rnacentral:rRNA from 1 species